ensembl:misc_RNA Metazoa_SRP Metazoan signal recognition particle RNA
GCCAGGUGUGGUGGCUCACACCUGUAAUCCCAGCACUUUGGGAGGCUGAGAUGGGCGGAUCACCUGAGGUCAGGAGUUUGAGACCAGCCUGACCAACAUGGUGAAACCCCGUCUCUA